rnacentral:rRNA from 1 species
GACGAACGCUGGCGGCGUGCUUAACACAUGCAAGUCGAACGGUAAGGCCCUUCGGGGUACACGAGUGGCGAACGGGUGAGUAACACGUGGGUGAUCUGCCCUGCACUUCGGGAUAAGCCUGGGAAACUGGGUCUAAUACCGGAUAGGACCACUGCCUGCAUGGGUGGUGGUGGAAAGCUUUUGCGGUGUGGGAUGGGCCCGCGGCCUAUCAGCUUGUUGGUGGGGUGAUGGCCUACCAGGGCGACGACGGGUAGCCGGCCUGGGAGGGUGACCGGCCACACUGGGACUGAGCUACGGCCCAGACUCCUACGGGAGGCAGCAGUGGGGAAUAUUGCACAAUGGGCGCAAGCCUGAUGCAGCGACGCCGCGUGAGGGAUGACGGCCUUCGGGUUGUAAACCUCUUUCAGCACCGACGAAGCGCAAGUGACGGUAGGUGCAGAAGAAGGACCGGCCAACUACGUGCCAGCAGCCGCCGUAA